rnacentral:misc_RNA from 1 species
GAUGAAGAACGUAGCGAAAUGCGAUAAGUAGUGUGAAUUGCAGAAUUCAGUGAAUCAUCGAAUCUUUGAACGCACAUUGCGCCCCUUGGUAUUCCAUUGGGCAUGCCUGUUCGAGCGUCAUUUACACCCUCAAGCUACGCUUGGUGUUGGGCGUCUGUCCCCGCUUCCCGCGAGGACUCGCCCCAAAUUCAUUGGCAGCGGCAUCGCCGGCUUCUCGCGCAGCACAUUGCGCUUCAGAAGGCUCCCGGCGGGCUCGCGUCCAGCAAGAACCCCCCCAGUUUGACCUCGAAUCAGGUAGGGAUACCCGCUGAACUUAAGCAUAUCAAUAAGCGGAGGA